rnacentral:misc_RNA from 1 species
CUCAUUCAAGAAGUAAAAUUGACUUGCAAACAAUUAAAAUUCCAAACCCAAACAUUACAUGAAAAAAAGGAAAGCAGAAAUGGAGAAGUCAGUUACCAACAGUAGUAAUGAAAAUACAUUAUACAUCGUUUUGCCCACCCCUCUUCCAAUAAUAUUUUAAUUUCAUUUGUGAGUAAAGACAAAACCUAUGAACUCAACGCUCCGACCCUUGUGCCUGAAUAUCUAGGCAAGAGAAGGACCAGCAAAACUAUUUACAGAAAUUUCCUUUGCCAAAAGAGGCAUAUGCAAAUGAAAUUCAGAAUGCAAAUAAUGCGAGAACUCUCAGCUUGCUCUUUUCCAAUCUUACCCUUUUAACAACUAUAAAAUAAUAAUAAAAAAAAAUUAAAAAACCUGAACCAAAGAUGUGAAAACCACCAGCCAAGUCAAUAAAGUAUCAUUGUACCUUU